CUUUUUUAGCAUUAAGCAUUUAGUCCUACACCCUUGGUAGGGAGCACUCAGCCCUUGCCUUGGUGAACUCACCAAGUCAAGCUUUUCUGUUCUCCUAUGAUAAGAUAGUCUCUCUACUCUCUUAUCUUUAUUACAGGCCAGGUGCAUACAAGAUGUGUAUAUUUGACAGCAGUGGUUUGCUUUUAUUCCUAGGAGGUUUUUGAGCUGCCAUCAGUUGUAGCAUGCAUGGGUUUUAUUUUGUUCUGUUUUUAGCACCAGCAACAACCUCCACGACAGGCCCUUCCACACACAGCACUGAACGCACCUCAGUUGCUCCAAAUGCCAGUGAAUCAUCCUCUACCAUCUCACCGACGUGGCUAUUGGUUUCCAGCUCAGAAGUCCCUCCAGACAAUGCAUCUUCUGUCAUUCAUCAGACAGUGGGGGCAGAUCCCAGCAAAGACGGCAUAUAUAUUGGAAUCGGCAUCUUUCUGGGUUUUUUAGUCAUCCUAGCUGUUGCUUUCUUUCUCUUGAAAAGUAAGUCCAUCACCAGUUCAAAGACAGGAUGGUUUUAUUUCUCUGACUCCCUGAGGACUUGGUCAACAGCAGCCGGGGAAGACGCACAUACCCAACCUAACUCCAUGAUGCCCUAG
rnacentral:lncRNA from 1 species